rnacentral:rRNA from 1 species
CCUACGGGAGGCAGCAGUGAGGAAUAUUGGUCAAUGGCCGGAAGGCUGAACCAGCCAAGCCGCGUGAAGGACGAAGGUGCCAAGCAUUGUAAACUUCUUUUGUCAAGGGACAAAAUCAGGCUCGAGAGCCUGACCGAGGGUACUUUAAGAAAAAGCAUCGGCUAACUCCGUGCCAGCAGCCGCGGUAAUACGGAGGAUGCGAGCGUUAUCCGGAUUUAUUGGGUUUAAAGGGUGCGUAGGGGGAUUGUUAAGUCAGGUGUGAAAGCCCGGGGCUCAACCCCAGCAGAGCAGUGGAAAUGGGCAGUCUUGAGUACAGGAGAGGUAUGCGGAAUGCGUAGGGUAGCGGUGAAAUGCUUAGAUAUUGCGAAGAACUCCGAUUGCGAAGGCAGCAUACUGGACGGGAACUGACGUUGAGGCUCGAAAGCGUGGGUAUCAAACAGGAUUAGAUACCCCAGUAGUC